ensembl:misc_RNA Y_RNA Y RNA
GGCUGGUCUGAGUGCAAUAGUAGUUACAACUAACUGAUCACAACCAGUUACAGAUUUAUCCUGCUCCACUCUCACUGCUUCACUUGACUAGCCUUUA